AAUCUUGAGCACCGCCGAGGAGUGGAAAGAAACCCCCAAAUCGCAUCGCCUCCUCCUCCCACGCCAGCCGGAAUCCUCCUCCGCAGCCGCCUACGGUACCUCAGUCGAGCUCCUUCUUCCCCACUCCGGGCGAAAUUUCUCUCUCCGUGAACUCGUAAGAGGUCGGCGUUUGCGGGCGCGGGGGAUACGCCGGAGUCAGAGCAUCCGCGGCGACCGGAGACCAAGGAGGAGGAAGGCGAGGAAGGUGCGGGCGCGUUGAAGGCGAAUUCGCCAUCCUUCCGGCGCCGUGAGGUGACCUGCGCGCGGCGGAGCUGGGCGUCCACUCAGCCACUCAGGUACCAUAGUUUAAGGGCAGAUGCACGUUGGUUACUGAAGAGACCUGAAACCUCUCUUAGAAAAGAAAUAGGACAACUUCUUUGUUUCAAGAGGAGCAACUUGAAUCUGAAACUGUUCCUUUUGACCCGUGCUUCAAGGUUGAGUAGCGGCGGCUCUGGCAGCGAUGGACAGAACAAGCAGUGGAGGUGUCAGAGGGGAAGGCGAGAAGAAGGCGGCUGCAGCAUGCGACGUGGAGGCGCUGCGCAAGUGCCUGCAGGAGAACAAGGGUGAUCGUGUCAAGUGCCAGGCUCACAUCGAUGCCUUCCGAUCCUCAUGUUCUGUCAGCCCCACCACUACCUCCGAUGGCCAUCCUGCUGUAAAAAAGGGGAUGUGAAACACAAUGGUUCUGUUGCUGGUGUAGUUUUACAAGAAACUGCAUGGAAUACGUAUGAUGAAUAAGGUGACGACUCAAAUGCAACAUAUGUGGAUGGUCAUGUGAAAGAGGAUAAUUAGAACUAGGGUAUGUUUGAUUUGUAGCCAACAUGUACCUUAUCAAUUUUUUUGGCUGUGACCAAAACUUUGGUCAUGGUUUGGAUGGUUGUUAACUUUUUGGCAUGCCAAUGGCUUCAUACCACGCUAGUUCA